rnacentral:rRNA from 1 species
GAUGAACGCUGGCGGCGUGCCUAAUACAUGCAAGUCGAGCGAACAGACGAGGAGCUUGCUCCUCUGACGUUAGCGGCGGACGGGUGAGUAACACGUGUAUAACCUACCUAUAAGACUGGUAUAACUUCGGGAAACCGGAGCUAAUAGCGGAUAAUAUAUUGAACCGCAUGGUUCAAUAGUGAAAGACGGUUUUGCUGUCACUUAUAGCUGGAUCCGCGCCGCAUUAGCUAGUUGGUCAGCUAACGGCUUACCAAGGCAACGAUGCGUAGCCGAACUGAGAGGGUGAUAGCCCACAUGGGAAGUGAGACACGGUCCAGACUACUAAGGGAGGCAGCAGUAGGGAAUCUUCCGCAAUGGGCGAAAGCAUGACGGAGCAACGCCGCGUGAGUGAUGAAGGUCUUCGGAUCGUAAAACUCUGUUAUUAGGGAAGAACAAAUGUGUAAGUAACUAUGCACGUCUUGACGGUACCUAAUCAGAAAGCCACGGCUAACUACGUG